rnacentral:pre_miRNA from 1 species
UGGCUCUGCGAGGUCGGCUCAAGGUGGGUCUGACGUUGAGCAGGCCUGUCAGGGCAUCG